GUUCACCUCAGCCUUCUGAGCAGCUGUACAGGCACAUGCCACCAGGUCCAGCUAAUUUUUUAAUUUUUUUUUUUUUUUGUGGAGGUGGGGUCUUGCUAUUUUUCCCAGCUUUGUCUGGAACUCCUGGACUCAAGCAAUCCUUUCACCUCAACCUCGCGAUAUGCUGAAAUUAAUAGGCAUGAGCUGUUGCAUCCAGUCAAAAUCAAAUACCUUUAUCUUGCCUUCACUGUUGACUAGAGUCACAGAUAUACUCUUUUGUUAUACAAUGCUAGGUCUAUCUUGUCCAUCUUAUCAUCUCCUAUCUCCCCAAGAACCGUAAGCUCCAACCGCACCUCUAUAUUUUCAAUAUACUAUUUAUGUUUAUAGAAAAUUAGGUUACGUGUUUCCUUUUACUG
rnacentral:lncRNA from 1 species